rnacentral:rRNA from 1 species
GAUGAACGCUGGCGGCGUGCUUAACACAUGCAAGUCGAACGAAGCAUUUAGAACAGAUUAUUUCGGUAUGAAGUUCUUUAUGACUGAGUGGCGGACGGGUGAGUAACGCGUGGGUAACCUGCCUUGUACUGGGGGAUAGCAGCUGGAAACGGCUGGUAAUACCGCAUAAGCGCACAAUGUUGCAUGACAUGGUGUGAAAAACUCCGGUGGUAUAAGAUGGACCCGCGUCUGAUUAGCUAGUUGGUGAGAUAACAGCCCACCAAGGCGACGAUCAGUAGCCGACUUGAGAGGGUGACCGGCCACAUUGGGACUGAGACACGGCCCAGACUCCUACGGGAGGCAGCAGUGGGGAAUAUUGCACAAUGGAGGAAACUCUGAUGCAGCGACGCCGCGUGAGUGAAGAAGUAAUUCGUUAUGUAAAGCUCUAUCAGCAGGGAAGAUAGUGACGGUACCUGACUAAGAAGCUCCGGCUAAAUACGUGCCAGCAGCCGCGGUAA